AACGUAGGGUGCAAGCGUUGUCCGGAAUUACUGGGUGUAAAGGGAGCGCAGGCGGACCGGCAAGUUGGAAGUGAAAACUAUGGGCUCAACCCAUAAAUUGCUUUCAAAACUGCUGGCCUUGAGUAGUGCAGAGGUAGGUGGAAUUCCCGGUGUAGCGGUGGAAUGCGUAGAUAUCGGGAAGAACACCAGUGGCGAAGGCGACCUACUGGGCACCAACUGACGCUGAGGCUCGAAAGCAUGGGUAGCAAACAGG
rnacentral:rRNA from 1 species